rnacentral:sRNA from 1 species
UACGAGGAUUCCCGCUAAGCAUCCAUGGCUGAAUGGUUAAAGCAUCCAACUCAUAAUUGGCGAAUUCGUAGAUUCAAUUCCUACUGUUUCCACG